rnacentral:rRNA from 1 species
UAUUGGGCGUAAAGCGUCCUCAGGUGGCCCUGUAAGUCUGUCGUUAAAGCGUGGAGCUUAACUCCAUUUCAGCGAUGGAAACUACAGGGCUAGAGCGUGGUAGGGGCAGAGGGAAUUCCCGGUGUAGCGGUGAAAUGCGUAGAUAUCGGGAAGAACACCAGUGGCGAAGGCGCUCUGCUGGGCCAUCACUGACACUCAUGGACGAAAGCCAGGGGAGCGAAAGGGAUUAGAUACCCCUGUAGUCCUGGCCGUAAACGAUGAACACUAGGUGUCGGGGGAAUCGACCCCCUCGGUGUCGUAGCCAACGCGUUAAGUGUUCCGCCUGGGGAGUACGCACGCAAGUGUGAAACUCAAAGGAAUUGACGGGGGCCCGCACAAGCGGUGGAGUAUGUGGUU